rnacentral:rRNA from 1 species
AUUGGGUGCAUUAUUAAAUGAUUCUUUUUAGAUCUUUCUUUUUUGCUUCGGCAUUUUAGGAGAUCUUGUUACUUUGAGUAAAUUAGAGUGUUCAAAGCAAACAGAUUAUAGCAUCUUUAUGCGUUUGAAUACUACAGCAUGGAAUAACAAAAUUGAACAAGUCAGAAUUUUGUUCUUUUUUCUUAUUUUGGCUUAGUUACGAUUAAUAGGAGUAGCUUGGGGGCAUUUGUAUUCAGAUGUCAGAGGUGAAAUUCUUAGAUUUUCUGGAGACAAACAACUGCGAAAGCAUUUGCCUAAAAUACUUCCAUUAAUCAAGAACGAAAGUUAAGGGAGUGAAGACGAUCAGAUACCGUCGUAAUCUUAACCAUAAACUAUGCCGACUAGGCUUUGGAUGAAAGAUGUAAAAAACAAUUUCUUCCCCCA